AUAAUGGAGAGUUUGAUCCUGGCUCAGGACGAACGCUGGCGGCGUGCCUAAUACAUGCAAGUCGAGCGGAACCAUUGGAGCUUGCUCCUUUGGUUUAGCGGCGGACGGGUGAGUAACACGUGGGCAACCUGCCCUGCAGAUCGGGAUAACUCCGGGAAACCGGUGCUAAUACCGAAUAGUUUGCGGCCUCUCAUGAGGCUGUACGGAAAGACGGUUUCGGCUGUCACUGCAGGAUGGGCCCGCGGCGCAUUAGCUAGUUGGUGAGGUAACGGCUCACCAAGGCCACGAUGCGUAGCCGACCUGA
rnacentral:rRNA from 1 species